rnacentral:misc_RNA from 1 species
CAAAAGGAUAUGGAUGACGGAUUUUCAAGUGAAAGGAUAGAAGUUCGAAAACAGCAUACUGCCGAGAAAGAUGUAAGCUGUAGAAUAUGCCCAUAACAUGUAUCCCCAUCUCUUAUUCGUACCAUGAGACAUAAUAUGGGAUGCAAACCAAUAGAGGGGAGGACUAGCAGACAAGAAACGUGUAGCAACCUGCACAUGCAUGACGAGAAAUGCUGUGGCUGCCAUGAAACCCAAGUGCAAAGUGCAUGGAAUGACAAAGGCAUGAAAGCAUUCUGGUUUCUGGAAUAAAUCAUGUUCUUCGGGAAGAACAAGAUAAUCAUCCCUUUCAAUCAUCUGUCUCCUUUGCCUGAGAUUACGAUAUUCUUGCAUUUUAGUAGAGAAUGUCUCCUUUGAGGUGGCAAUGUUUGGUCCUGGAACUGUAUCUAGAGAAGAAAAUGAAUCUAUAGACCUCUUUUGGCCAUUAGGAGCUCGAAAACCCAAUGAGAAAAAAAUCUCUGGUUGUGACCUCACAUAGUGGAGAAUGCAGCAAAUCGCCAAAGACAGUAUAGGGGAUGCAAGCAGAAAGUUUGGCAACUGCUUCAACUGAAAAUAUCUCAAGAAACCUACUUUCCAAUAAUGACUCUGAAUGUAAUUGUACAGCAAAGGUAUUUUGGAUUUGCACCAAGGCCUCAUUUCCUCUGGGGCAUGUCCAUGACAAAUAUUGUAGUAGCCAUAUGCUUGAAAAGCAAUAAAGGGAAGAAAAGUGCAUAUACAACGUAAUGCUCCAAUGAUAAAAGCCUUUACUGCCAAACGAGCAUCUUUUUUUAAGAACAAAUCAUGAUAAACUUGAUGCAUUGUCUGAAAACAGAAAUAGCCAGCAUUAAGCACUCCAUUAGACCUUGC